rnacentral:rRNA from 1 species
GACGAACGCUGGCGGCGUGCUUAACACAUGCAAGUCGAGCGGAAAGGCCACUUCGGUGGUACUCGAGCGGCGAACGGGUGAGUAACACGUGAGUAAUCUGCCCCUGGCUUUGGGAUAGCCACCGGAAACGGUGAUUAAUACCGGAUACGACCACUUCUCGCAUGGGAUGGUGGUGGAAAGUUUUUUCGGCCAGGGAUGUGCUCGCGGCCUAUCAGCCUGAUGGUGAGGUAAUGGCUCACCAUGGCUUCGACGGGUAGCCGGCCUGAGAGGGUGACCGGUCACACUGGGACUGAGACACGGCCCAGACUCCUACGGGAGGCAGCAGUGGGGAAUAUUGGACAAUGGGCGGAAGCCUGAUCCAGCAACGCCGCGUGAGGGAUGACGGCCUUCGGGUUGUAGACCUCUUUCAGCAGGGACGAAGCGCAAGUGACGGUACCUGCAGAAGAAGCACCGGCCAACUACGUGCCAGCCGCCGCGGUAA